GGCAGCCAGGCUCUGCCAGCCCCGGCGGGAUCAUCCCGUUCCUGAGCCGCGCUAAUUAAUGCCGGCGGCUUCCCCCGAGCCUGAGCCCCCGGGGGCGCUCCCCGCUCCCCGCGGGAUGCGGCGGGGACGGGAGCGGGACAGCGGCAACAGACCGUAGUUUUCUCGGAGCUCCACAGUCUCCUCUCUUUGAAGUUGGACAGAUACAGUAAACACAACAAAUAUAUGAUACAACCCAUCACAGCUGGAUUAAAAAAAAAUACACAAAAAAUAUAAUACAUAAAAAAAUGGAUUUUUAACAUUGUGGACUGACGCAGCUCUAAAAAUGGUGAUUGUAACCCUGGUAAGCUUUACAAAGUCUUUAAAAAAAUAAAACAGUACUUCAUGUGAAA